rnacentral:rRNA from 1 species
UACGUAGGGUGCAAGCGUUGUCCGGAAUUAUUGGGCGUAAAGAGCUCGUAGGCGGUCUGUCGCGUCUGCUGUGAAAAUCAGGGCUCAACCCUGGACCUGCAGUGGGUACGGGCAGACUAGAGUGCGGUAGGGGAGAUCGGAAUCCUGGUGUAGCGGUGAAAUGCGCAGAUAUCAGGAGGAACACCGGUGGCGAAGGCGGAUCUCUGGGCCGUAACUGACGCUGAGGAGCGAAAGCAUGGGGAGCGAACAGG